rnacentral:rRNA from 1 species
GACGUAGGGCGCGAGCGUUGUCCGGAUUUAUUGGGCGUAAAGAGCUCGUAGGCGGCUUGUCGCGUCGAAUGUGAAAUCUCAGGGCUCAACUCUGACAUUGCAUUCGAUACGGGCAGGCUCGAGUUCGGUAGGGGAGACUGGAAUUCCUGGUGUAGCGGUGAAAUGCGCAGAUAUCAGGAGGAACACCGGUGGCGAAGGCGGGUCUCUGGGCCACUACUGACGCUGAGAAGCGAAAGCAUGGGGAGCGAACAGG